rnacentral:rRNA from 1 species
CCAAUAGCGUAUAUUAAAGUUGUUGCAGUUAAAAAGCUCGUAGUUGAAUUUCGGGAUUCUACCGUUGGUCGGGCUAACAAGUCUGUACUGGUGUGUAGAAUUUCUACCUUCUGGGGAACUAUCAUGUUAUUAAUUUAGCGUGGUGGGAAACCAGGACCUUUACCUUGAAAAAAUUAGAGUGUUCAAAGCAGGCUUACGUCUGAAUACAUUAGCAUGGAAUAAUAGAAUAGGACGGUGGUCCUGUUUUGUUGGUUUCUGAAUCACCGUAAUGAUUAAUAGGGAUAGUUGGGGGCAUUAGUAUUCAAUUGUCAGAGGUGAAAUUCUUGGAUUUAUUGAAGACUAACUUCUGCGAAAGCAGUUGCCAAGGAUGUUUUCAUUAAUCAAGAACGAAAGUUAGGGGAUCGAAGACGAUCAGAUACCGUCGUAGUCUUAACCAUAAACUAUGCCGACUAGGGGUCGGACGAUGUUAAAUUUUAUUGACUCGUUCGGCGCCUUACG